CCCGCGAAACUGCGAAUGGCUCAUUAUAUAAGUUAUCGUUUAUUUGAUAAUACUUUACUACUUGGAUAACCGUGGUAAUUCUAGAGCUAAUACAUGCUAAAAAUCCCGACUUCGGAAGGGUUGUAUUUAUUAGAUUAAAAACCAAUGCCCCUCGGGGCUCUCUGGUGAAUCAUGAUAACUAGUCGAAUCGACAGGCCUUGUGCCGGCGAUGGCUCAUUCAAAUUUCUUCCCUAUCAACUUUCGAUGUUUGGGUCUUGUCCAAACAUGGUGGCAACGGGUAACGGAGGGUUAGGGCUCGACCCCGGAGAAGGAGCCUGAGAAACGGCUACUACAUCCAAGGAAGGCAGCAGGCGCGCAAAUUACCCAAUCCCGACACGGGGAGGUAGUGACAAUAAAUACUGAUACAGGGCUCUUUUGGGUCUUGUAAUCGGAAUGAGUACAAUUUAAAUCCCUUAACGAGGAACAAUUGGAGGGCAAGUCUGGUGCCAGCAGCCGCGGUAAUUCCAGCUCCAAUAGCGUAUAUUAAAGUUGUUGUGGUUAAAAAGCUCGUAGUUGAACCUUGGGCCUGGCUGGCCGGUCCGCCUCACCGCGUGCACUGGUCCGGCCGGGCCUUUCCCUCUGCGGAACCCCAUGCCCUUCACUGGGUGUGGCGGGGAAACAGGACUUUUACUUUGAAAAAAUUAGAGUGCUCAAGGCAGGCCUAUGCUCGAAUACAUUAGCAUGGAAUAAUAGAAUAGGACGUGUGGUUCUAUUUUGUUGGUUUCUAGGACCGCCGUAAUGAUUAAUAGGGACAGUCGGGGGCAUCAGUAUUCAAUUGUCAGAGGUGAAAUUCUUGGAUUUAUUGAAGACUAACUACUGCGAAAGCAUUUGCCAAGGAUGUUUCAUUAAUCAGGAACGAAAGUUAGGGGAUCGAAGACGAUCAGAUACCGUCGUAGUCUUACCAUAAACUA
rnacentral:rRNA from 1 species